rnacentral:rRNA from 1 species
AACGAACGCUGGCGGCAUGCCUAACACAUGCAAGUCGAACGAGACCUUCGGGUCUAGUGGCGCACGGGUGCGUAACGCGUGGGAACCUGCCCUUAGGUUCGGAAUAACUCUCCGAAAGGGGUGCUAAUACCGGAUAAUGUCUUCGGACCAAAGAUUUAUCGCCUUUGGAUGGGCCCGCGUUGGAUUAGCUAGUUGGUAGGGUAAAAGCCUACCAAGGCGACGAUCCAUAGCUGGUCUGAGAGGAUGAUCAGCCACACUGGGACUGAGACACGGCCCAGACUCCUACGGGAGGCAGCAGUGGGGAAUAUUGGACAAUGGGCGAAAGCCUGAUCCAGCAAUGCCGCGUGAGUGAUGAAGGCCUUAGGGUUGUAAAGCUCUUUUACCCGGGAUGAUAAUGACAGUACCGGGAGAAUAAGCACCGGCUAACUCCGUG